UAUUGCACAAUGGGGGAAACCCUGAUGCAGCGACGCCGCGUGAGUGAAGAAGUAUUUCGGUAUGUAAAGCUCUAUCAGCAGGGAAGAAAAUGACGGUACCUGAUUAAGAAGCCCCGGCUAACUACGUGCCAGCAGCCGCGGUAAUACGUAGGGGGCAAGCGUUAUCCGGAUUUGCUGGGUGUAAAGGGAGCGUAGACGGCAGCACAAGUCUGGAGUGAAAUGCCGGGGCUUAACCCCGGAACUGCUUUGGAAACUGGGCGGCUAGAGUGCAGGAGAGGUAGGCGGAAUUCCUAGUGUAGCGGUGAAAUGCGUAGAUAUUAGGAGGAACACCAGUGGCGAAGGCGGCCUACUGGACGGUGACUGACGCUGAGGCUCGAAAGCGUGGGGAGCAAACAGG
rnacentral:rRNA from 1 species